AUUGAACGCUGGCGGCAGGCCUAACACAUGCAAGUCGAGCGGAUGAAGGGAGCUUGCUCCUGGAUUCAGCGGCGGACGGGUGAGUAAUGCCUAGGAAUCUGCCUGGUAGUGGGGGAUAACGUCCGGAAACGGGCGCUAAUACCGCAUCCGUCCUGAGGGAGAAAGGGGGGGAUCUUCGGACCUCGCGCUAUCAGAUGAGCCUAGGUCGGAUUAGCUAGUUGGUGGGGUAAAGGCCUACCAAGGCGACGAUCCGUAACUGGUCUGAGAGGAUGAUCAGUCACACUGGAACUGAGACACGGUCCAGACUCCUACGGGAGGCAGCAGUAGGGAAUAUUGGACAAUGGGCGAAAGCCUGACCCAGCCAUGCCGCGUGUGUGAAGAAGGUCUUCGGAUUGUAAAGCACUGUUAGUUGGGAGGAAGGGCAGUAAGUUAAUACCUUGCUGUUUUGACGUUACCAACACAAUAAGCCCCGGCUAACUUCGUG
rnacentral:rRNA from 1 species